rnacentral:rRNA from 1 species
UGGGGAAUAUUGGACAAUGGGCGAAAGCCUGAUCCAGCCAUGCCGCGUGUGUGAAGAAGGUCUUCGGAUUGUAAAGCACUUUAAGUUGGGAGGAAGGGCAGUAACCUAAUACGUUGCUGUCUUGACGUUACCGACAGAAUAAGCACCGGCUAACUCUGUGCCAGCAGCCGCGGUAAUACAGAGGGUGCAAGCGUUAAUCGGAAUUACUGGGCGUAAAGCGCGCGUAGGUGGUUUGUUAAGUUGGAUGUGAAAUCCCCGGGCUCAACCUGGGAACUGCAUCCAAAACUGGCAAGCUAGAGUAUGGUAGAGGGUGGUGGAAUUUCCUGUGUAGCGGUGAAAUGCGUAGAUAUAGGAAGGAACACCAGUGGCGAAGGCGACCACCUGGACUGAUACUGACGCUGAGGCGCGAAAGCAAGGGGAUCAAACAGGAUUAGAUACCCCCGUAGUCCCUGAGCGGGCUGGCAAGGCGCAU